AGGACGAACGCUGGCGGCGUGCUUAACACAUGCAAGUCGAGCGGAAAGGCCCUUCGGGGUACUCGAGCGGCGAACGGGUGAGUAACACGUGAGCAAUCUGCCCUUAGCUUCGGGAUAGCUCCGGGAAACCGGAAUUAAUACCGGAUAUGACUAUGGCUGGCAUCAGCCACGGUGGAAAGUUUUUCGGCUAGGGAUGAGCUCGCGGCCUAUCAGCUAGUUGGUGGGGUAACGCCUACCAAGGCGACGACGGGUA
rnacentral:rRNA from 1 species